rnacentral:rRNA from 1 species
GGUAACACGUAUCCAACCUGCCGAUAACUCGGGGAUAGCCUUUCGAAAGAAAGAUUAAUACCCGAUGGUAUAAUCAGACCGCAUGGUUUGAUUAUUAAAGAAUUUCGGUUAUCGAUGGGGAUGCGUUCCAUUAGGCAGUUGGUGAGGUAACGGCUCACCAAACCUUCGAUGGAUAGGGGUUCUGAGAGGAAGGUCCCCCACAUUGGAACUGAGGCACGGUCCAA